AUAUUGGACAAUGGGCGAAAGCCUGAUCCAGCAAUGCCGCGUGAGUGAUGAAGGCCUUAGGGUUGUAAAGCUCUUUUACCCGGGAUGAUAAUGACAGUACCGGGAGAAUAAGCUCCGGCUAACUCCGUGCCAGCAGCCGCGGUAAUACGGAGGGAGCUAGCGUUGUUCGGAAUUACUGGGCGUAAAGCGCACGUAGGCGGCGAUUUAAGUCAGAGGUGAAAGCCCGGGGCUCAACCCCGGAACUGCCUUUGAGACUGGAUUGCUUGAAUCCGGGAGAGGUGAGUGGAAUUCCGAGUGUAGAGGUGAAAUUCGUAGAUAUUCGGAAGAACACCAGUGGCGAAGGCGGCUCACUGGACCGGCAUUGACGCUGAGGUGCGAAAGCGUGGGGAGCAAACAGG
rnacentral:rRNA from 1 species